ensembl:lncRNA
GGGAAACAGACGUCUUGACCUCUGCCACCCAGGGAAGAGCCAGGGCUGUGGCCAGGGACGGCUGGGAGGGCGCUUGAUUACAGCCCUAGCGGAACAAAGUCAGCGGGAGCUACUUGGUGAGGAGUGCCUGCUGCAGAGGACCAGCAGAAGUCUGUUUCUUGGAGCUCAGUUGGCGGCUUGCUUCCCACUCAGCAGGACCUCCCUCAAUUCCUGUUAGACCUCGUUUCUCCUGGUUGUAUGGACACGCGUUAAGUGUAUUUACGACAUUUUGUUUAAUAAAACUUCAUCCUCGAUUCCCUGUCUUCAACAACCUCAACAAAAAUGUGCCUUUCCGGAGAUGGAUUGCACAGCAAUGUGAGUGGACGUGGGCCUGCACACAGAAAAAUGGCUAAAACGGCUUUGUAUUCUUGGCUGGAACUGGACCCUGGGCUGUUCCCGAGGAGAUGCUGCCAGUCCGUGGAGUGCAGGGCGGGACCCACGACUUCCUCCCUGAGGAGGCUCUGUCCGCCCCGGCAUUGUGGGUUCAGGGCUUGCUCUCACCCUCAUCGCCCUCCUCCAUACCUCCCCACCCACCACCAGCAUUCUUUCAACCUCACUCCCCAACGCUCCUUCCUACAGACUCUCCUUCCUAAUAACUCAGCCUCAGGGUCUCUGAUGUUAAGCGCUUGGUAUAUAUCUGUCGCUGAAUUCACGCUGGGGAGGGGAACACCUCUUAAAAAU